GGUUCAGCCAGCUGUGGACUAGGGCUCGGAGGGGCUGGGGCCUUGUGGAGCCAAUACUGGACCCUGCUGUGGGCAGCCUGUGCUCAGAGUCUGGACCUAAAUCUGGGACCCUGGAGGGACCCCAGGGCAACAGCGCAACAGCUGAGUCAGGCACUGGGUCAGGGUGAGUGAUGGGCUUGGGUGGGCGUUUGGGAAGGCUGGGGUCUCUUCCUUCCCCUUGGCCAACUCACUGACCUGCCAUCCUGAAGGCAAAAGCAGGCCCUUUAGAAAGAACACCCCUGGGUUCAGACUAUAGCUUCUGAGCUUUCAAGGCAAAGUCUUGCUUUCCACCCCAGUCCCGAGUCUUGGAGGAAGCAUGCCUUCUUGCCUCAUCAUUGAGUGGGCAGGGGUUGUGGAAAGUGAGACCUUGUUUUCAGGCCCCAGAGUCAUUUCUCCCACUAGCAUCCCUGCCUCAGGAGUGUGAGAAGGAGCUGGCAUCUUUGUGUCACAGACUACUUCAUCAGUCGCUUAUCUGGAGCUGGGACCAAGGUUUCUGCCAGGCCUUGGGAUCAGCUCUUGGGGGUCAGAGCAGCCUUCCCACAUCCUCUGGCACUGCUGAACUUUUGCAGCAGCUCUUUCCUCCUCUCUUGGAUGCCCUUCGAGAGC
rnacentral:lncRNA from 1 species